rnacentral:lncRNA from 1 species
GGCUAAUGCAAGAGAGAUUCAAUACACGUAUCUUGGCAAAAAAAUCCAAAAUGAGUUGAUACAGUUGUUGGCUAAUGAGGUGAGAAAUGCAAUUAUCAAGAAAGUUAAAGAUGCAAAAUAUUUCGCGAUUAUACUUGAUUGUACUCCAGAUGCAAGUCGUGAGGAGCAGAUGUCUUUAAUAGUAUGAUUUGUAGAUGAUUCAGCAAACUUACCUAUAGUUGAGGAACAUUGGCUUGAAUUUUUGAAGGUAGAUGACACAACAGGACUUGGACUUGCAACCGAGCUUCAAAAGGUUUUGAUCAAACUUGAUCUGGAUAUUGAUGACAUUAGAGGGCAAGGGUAUGAUAAUGGAUCUAACAUGAGUGGGAAGCACAAAGGUGUACAAAAAAGAGUACAUGAAAUGAAUCCCCGAGCUUUCUAUACUCCAUGUAGUGCUCAUAGUCUAAAUCUAGCAUUAUGUGAUAUGGUGAAUUGUUGUUCCAAAGCUGUAUCCUUCUUCGGAGUGAUACAACGCAUCUACACUUUAUUUUCCUCUUCU